rnacentral:rRNA from 1 species
GACGAACGCUGGCAGCGUGCUUAACACAUGCGAGUCGAACGGAAAGGCCCUGCUUUUGUGGGGUGCUCGAGUGGCGAACGGGUGAGUAACACGUGAGUAACCUGCCCUUGACUUUGGGAUAACUUCAGGAAACUGGGGCUAAUACCGGAUAGGAGCUCCUGCUGCAUGGUGGGGGUUGGAAAGUUUCGGCGGUUGGGGAUGGACUCGCGGCUUAUCAGCUUGUUGGUGGGGUAGUGGCUUACCAAGGCUUUGACGGGUAGCCGGCCUGAGAGGGUGACCGGCCACAUUGGGACUGAGAUACGGCCCAGACUCCUACGGGAGGCAGCAGUGGGGAAUAUUGCACAAUGGGCGGAAGCCUGAUGCAGCAACGCCGCGUGCGGGAUGACGGCCUUCGGGUUGUAAACCGCUUUCGCCUGUGACGAAGCGUGAGUGACGGUAAUGGGUAAAGAAGCACCGGCUAACUACGUG